rnacentral:rRNA from 1 species
ACGGGUGAGUAACACGUGGGCAAUCUGCCCUUCACUCUGGGACAAGCCCUGGAAACGGGGUCUAAUACCGGAUAACACUUCCCUCCUCCUGGAGGGUGGUUAAAAGCUCCGGCGGUGAAGGAUGAGCCCGCGGCCUAUCAGCUUGUUGGUGAGGUAAUGGCUCACCAAGGCGACGACGGGUAGCCGGCCUGAGAGGGCGACCGGCCACACUGGGACUGAGACACGGCCCAGACUCCUACGGGAGGCAGCAGUGGGGAAUAUUGCACAAUGGGCGAAAGCCUGAUGCAGCGACGCCGCGUGAGGGAUGACGGCCUUCGGGUUGUAAACCUCUUUCAGCAGGGAAGAAGCGAAAGUGACGGUACCUGCAGAAGAAGCGCCGGCUAACUACGUGCCAGCAGCCGCGGUAAUACGUAGGGCGCAAGCGUUGUCCGGAAUUAUUGGGCGUAAAGAGCUCGUAGGCGGCUUGUCACGUCGGUUGUGAAAGCCCGGGGCUUAACCCCGGGUCUGCAGUCGAUACGGGCAGGCUAGAGUGUGGUAGGGGAGAUCGGAAUUCCUGGUGUAGCGGUGAAAUGCGCAGAUAUCAGGAGGAACACCGGUGGCGAAGGCGGAUCUCUGGGCCAUUACUGACGCUGAGGAGCGAAAGCGUGGGGAGCGAACAGGAUUAGAUACCCUGGUAGUCCACGCCGUAAACGGUGGGAACUAGGUGUUGGCGACAUUCCACGUCGUCGGUGCCGCAGCUAACGCAUUAAGUUCCCCGCCUGG